GUGUGUAGGAGGGACGUCGCGGGCCAGUGGGAUGCUCCUCCAUUACAAACCGAUGGGCUCCCAGGAUGCCCAGCAGCUACAGAUGGAGGCUGCAGAAGACAAGAAGGUGGCAUCGCUGUGGCUCGCUGCAAUGCACAAGGCGGCCAAGCUGCUGCACGAAGCUCGAGACCAGUGACAGCCAGGGGGAACGGAGGCAGCACACACCCAAGUGUUUUCCAGCCGAGUCGGAUUCAGAUCGGGUUUGCUCUCAUCACCGCAGAUUCACUUUAUCCAUCUGAUCUCUUAUCGGUUCUUUAUGCCAGCUCGUCAUUGUCUUUUUUUUUUUUUUUUAUUUCACCCCCCCGUCCCCAAGAAAUCUUUCUAAAAGGAGAAAAAGAGCACUGCACUCACCUCUAUAAGCAAUACUCUGUACAUGUGCGUUUUCUUUCCUUUCAACGCUCCAGUCUGGUUUCACUCACUAACUGGGCCGUGCAGAUUAAACAUUUUUACAGAGCGUCGAGGCUUGCUGAUGUUGGAGGCUUUAAUAUUAAUUCAGAAAUGUUGCUCUGUAUUCUUAUGAAGGUUGU